GAAAUGCCUCCUUGAGAUCCAACUGUAAGGAAUUUUCUCAAUUAGUGAUCAUUGAGGGGAGCAGCCCAUGGUGAGUGGUGCCAUCUCUGGGCUGGUGGUUCUG
rnacentral:miRNA from 1 species